GGAAGCAGGGGGCGAUGGGAGGUGGGCACUGCGCAGACGCGCCGGGGCCAAUGGAAAGUAGCGCGGUCAGGGGAAGCGCGGGGGCAGAUGGGACGUGGGCAGUCAGGGGAAGCACAGGGGCUGCUGGGAUGUGGAUAGUCCCGGGCGCCAGGGCCUCCGGAAAGCGGGGUCUGGGACGCUGCUCCGCCUCCUCUUCCAGCCAGGCAGCCCUGAAGCUCCGGAUCCUGCGGUGACUCCUGUCCCGGUCGGAAGAGACCCACCAGUCCUGACGAGGGAUAAAGGCUUUAGGGCCAGAAAGGUCAGCAGAGUCCCGGAGGACGAGGGGGACCCGGGCAGCAGCCACCACGCGACCGUCGUUCUUCUGUCAGACCUUGACGUGGCCGGGGAGAAACAGGAGAAGCUUCCACGUUUGUCCCGUUGGACGUGCCCUCCACCCUUCGCCGGCCAUUUCUAGAAGGCCUGUGCCUCACCAUGAAAAAGCCGCUCUCGGCCUCCCCGACUUCUUAAAAGUGAACGUUCGCUGCAUCCGUCCCGUCUAGACGUGAGGAGGUUCCGAGGCGUGAUUGAGUCAGAACGUCCUGUCAGGCGCCAUCUGCUUUUACAAAAGUCAUAGCGAAGGCGAGUCUCGUGGAAAUGCCGCUGGACGUGGGCGCGGAGCGAGAGGCCCGUAUUACCAGUGAGUUCUGACGUUCCUAAUGGGACCAGGAUGGAGUCAAGUUUCCUGCUCAAUGUCAGAGGCAGUGAUGGCCCCAGAUACAAUCCAGAUCAGGCUUUAGGCUGUGAAAUACCGUGCCUCAUGAAUAUGCAAAUGACCUGAGGUCUUCUGAGAUAAAUAUGGAUGUGUUGGUUCCCUGCAAGCCUCACCCAACAACCACAUCCCUCCUCUGAAGAAGCCCAAGUGGGCAGAGCUCAUCACCAUGGACUGGACCUGGAGGAUCCUCUUCUUGGUGGCAGCAGCUACAGGUGUCCAGUCCCAGGUGCAGCUGGUGCAGUCUGGGGCAGAGGUGAAGAAGCCUGGGGCCUCCGUGAAGGUCUCCUGCAAGGCUUCUGGAUACACCUUUACCAGCUACUAUAUGAACUGGGUGCGACAGGCCCCUGGCCAAGGGCUCGAGUGGAUGGGAUGGAUCAACCCUUACAAUGGUAACACAGGCUAUGCACAGAAGUUCCAGGGCAGAGUCACGAUGACCGUGGACAAGUCCACGAGCACAGCCUACAUGGAGCUGAGCAGCCUGAGAUCUGAGGACACGGCCGUGUAUUACUGUGCGAAAGACACACAGUGUGAAAACCACAUCCUGAGAGUGUCAGAAACCCCAGUGAUGGGGCAGCUGUGCUGAGCUGAGGAGAUGACAGGGAUUACCAGGUUUAAGGCUUUUUACAAGAUGAGUUCUUUAUUUGAGAGAAAAUAACAGUGGAAACAAGUGCACACUCUCAUUUUAAGAUAAAUAUUCCAUUCAAGACUCAUCAUAUAAGGCAGAUUCACAGAGUGGGAAAGGCCACACUCAAUAUGUUGAU